UAUAUCUUCCCGGAAAUCCUUUCUUGGUAUGUUAGGGGGCUCAACAACCCCGCUAAACGUAAGGCAUGGAGGGAGUACGUGGAUUCGCUACAUGUUAGCUCGGCAUGCUUACAAGAAACUAAACUAGAGAUUUGUGACAUCUACAUAGUUAUGCAAUGCUUGCGCCCAUCUUUUGACGGGUUUGAUUAUCUCCCGACAAAUGAUAGGAGAGGGGGUAUUCUUAUCGCCUGGAGAUCCUCGAUGAUCUCGUUGGAACAAGUUGUCGGUGUCAAAACCGGCCGAUCUCGGGUAGGGAGUCCCGAACUGUGCAUCUGA
rnacentral:rRNA from 1 species